rnacentral:rRNA from 1 species
AACGAACGCUGGCGGCAGGCUUAACACAUGCAAGUCGAACGCCCCGCAAGGGGAGUGGCAGACGGGUGAGUAACGCGUGGGAAUCUACCCAUCUCUGCGGAAUAGCUCUGGGAAACUGGAAUUAAUACCGCAUACGCCCUACGGGGGAAAGAUUUAUCGGGGAUGGAUGAGCCCGCGUUGGAUUAGCUAGUUGGUGGGGUAAAGGCCUACCAAGGCGACGAUCCAUAGCUGGUCUGAGAGGAUGAUCAGCCACAUUGGGACUGAGACACGACCCAAACUCCUACNNGNGGCAGCAGUGGGGAAUAUUGGACAAUGGGCGCAAGCCUGAUCCAGCCAUGCCGCGUGAGUGAUGAAGGCCUUAGGGUUGUAAAGCUCUUUCACCGANGAAGAUAAUGACGGUAGUCGGAGAAGAAGCCCCGGCUAACUUCGUGCCAGCAGCCGCCGUAA